AUUGAACGCUGGCGGCAUGCUUUACACAUGCAAGUCGAACGGUAACAGGCCUUCGGGUGCUGACGAGUGGCGAACAGGUGAGUAAUGCAUCGGAACGUGCCCAGAGGUGGGGGAUAACGCAGCGAAAGCUGUGCUAAUACCGCAUGUGAUCUGAGGAUGAAAGCGGGGGACCAAGCAGCAAUGUUUGGCCUCGCGCCUCUGGAGCGGCCGAUGUCAGAUUAGGUAGUUGGUGGGGUAAAGGCCUACCAAGCCGACGAUCUGUAGCUGGUCUGAGAGGACGACCAGCCACACUGGGACUGAGACACGGCCCAGACUCCUACGGGAGGCAGCAGUGGGGAAUUUUGGACAAUGGGCGCAAGCCUGAUCCAGCAAUGCCGCGUGCGGGAAGAAGGCCUUCGGGUUGUAAACCGCUUUUGUACGGAACGAAAAGGCUCUGGCUAAUACCUGGGGCUGAUGACGGUACCGUAAGAAUAAGCACCGGCUAACUACGUG
rnacentral:rRNA from 1 species